UUACAUGCAGAGGUAGGAAAAAAACAUCUUUCAAGCACAUUCUUGGAAUUACACACUCACAACUGUAUGCAAUAUUUUUUCGUGCAUUGAUAAAAUCUCCUUUAUUUUUUGCUCAGCUGAUAAGGUAAGUUGCUAUAUAUAUAUGGCUGACAGCAUAUUUACUUUUCCCUAAACUAUUGUUCUUGCCUUGAAAGUACUGCUGAAACGAGCAGUGUAGUUUUGUUCAAAUCUUUUUGCAACAGGCUAGGACAGAAUAUGUCUCUUCAGAUAUUAGGUUUAAAAUGGAGCUUAUUAUUUGUAGGGAUCCUCACUUUUAUCUAUUAACUAAGUAUUGAGGAACCUAGUGAACUACUGAGAGAAUAAUUGCUUAAGUCCAAAAACAGAAAGCAGACUCAAGAAGGGUUAAUUACCCUUUAAUGCUCAAAAUAAAGAUGUAUAGAUGGUCCCUUUCUUGGGACAUACAACAAACCUCGACUUGGUCUUAAAAAUAGUGACUGAUAUUUGGAAUUAGUGGAAAGUAUUAGCUUUUGUAGCCAGCAUUGGGAUUUCUACCUGCUUUCGAUACCAUUUGAGGUUACCCAAGGCUGAAAAUGCUGUUUGGAAUUUGUAUUUAUCUUGGAUCAGAAGCCUCAAGUAAGGUGUAAUACCAUCCAGAAACCCAGAAGUGGAUGGAGACACAGGAGGACUCUCGGCAGAAGGGAAUUUUACGAUAAUUCUAAAGCAAUAAAACUUUUAAAAGACUAUUAAUAAUGUAAUUUUGGCAUUUCAAAAGUUAUAAACUACUUGUGUGAAAAUUGUAUCAAUGUACCACUUAUAACAAAAUUAUAAAUUAAAGAAUAUGAUACAAAUCACAGAGAACUAUAACUAUGGCAUUUGGGGGGUGAACAUUUUCUUAUUUCAUUUAGAAUUUAGGAAUAUAAAAUUUUCUUAAAUUCCAUAGGAAUUGAAGAAAUACAAAAAAUUAGAUUUCCUAAUUUUUAUGAAAUUGAUUUUUGCAUCAUUUAAAACAACUUUGUGAGUGGAAGCAUAUGUUCACAACCAAUGCAAAAACUGAAGAAUACUGUUAAUGAUGUUACCAUAUGCAUAUGAUGAGCAUUUAAAAUUAAACAGAAUUAAAAUUUAAAAAAAAAAUAACCUUAUUUGCUAAGAGUGAACCAUGUAUAUUUACUGCAUCUAGCUUCACAAAUUUAUUAAGAAAGUUUAUUUUCACAAAUUAUAAGAAUUACACUAAAAAGUCAAUUUUUUUAAAGUAAAAGUCUGAUAUUUACUGCAGUAGGUUCUUAAAUAGAAAGCAAGGGGACAUGCAGCAAUUUUGAAAUGGGAACCUCAAAAUAUUCACACUUAGUUUUUGAAAAUCUCUUAAUAAUCCUGUCACUUAUCAGAUUAACCAUCAGCAA
rnacentral:lncRNA from 1 species